rnacentral:rRNA from 1 species
AACGUACGCUGGCGGCACGCCUAACACAUGCAAGUCGAACGAAGUAGCAAUACUUAGUGGCAGACGGGUGAGUAACAUGUAGGUAUCUGCCCUUUGGCCUGGAAUAACACGAGGAAACUUGUGCUAAUACCGGAUAAGUCUUUACGGAGAAAGCUUUAUGCACCAUUGGAUGAGCCUGCACUUGAUUAGUUUGUUGGUGGGGUAAUGGCCUACCAAGACUGUGAUCAAUAGCUGAUUUGAGAGGAUGAUCAGCCACAUUGGGACUGAGACACGGCCCAAACUCCUACGGGAGGCAGCAGUGGGGAAUCUUGCACAAUGGAGGAAACUCUGAUGCAGCGAUGCCGCGUGAGUGAAGAAGGCCCUUGGGUUGUAAAGCUCUUUCGUCGGGGAAGAAAAUGACUGUACCCGAAUAAGAAGGUCCGGCUAACUUCGUGCCAGCAGCCGCGGUAAUACGAAGGGACCUAGCGUAGUUCGGAAUUACUGGGCUUAAAGAGUUCGUAGGUGGUUGAAAAAGUUAGUGGUGAAAUCCCAGAGCUUAACUCUGGAACUGCCAUUAAAACUUUUCAGCUAGAGUAUGAUAGAGGAAAGCAGAAUUUCUAGUGUAGAGGUGAAAUUCGUAGAUAUUAGAAAGAAUACCAAUUGCGAAGGCAGCUUUCUGGAUCAUUACUGACACUGAGGAACGAAAGCAUGGGUAGCGAAGAGGAUUAGAUACCCUCGUAGUCCAUGCCGUAAACGAUGUGUGUUAGACGUUGGAAAUUUAUUUUCAGUGUCGCAGGGAAACCGAUAAACACACCGCCUGGGGAGUACGACCGCAAGGUUAAAACUCAAAUGAAUUGACGGGGACCCGCACAAGUAGUGGAGCAUGUGGUUUAAUUCGAAGAUACGCGCAGAACCUUACCAACACUUGGCAUGUUCGUCGCGACUCUAAGAGAUUAGAGUUUUCGGUUCGGCCGGACGAAACACAGGUGCUGCAUGGCUGUCGUCAGCUCGUGUCGUGAGAUGUUGGGUUAAGUCCCGCAACGAGCGCAACCCUCACUUUUAGUUGCCAUCAUUAAGUUGGGCACUCUGAAAGAACUGCCAGUGAUAAGCUGGAGGAAGGUGGGGAUGACGUCAAGUCCUCAUGGCCCUUACGUGUUGGGCUACACACGUGCUACAAUGGUAUCUACAACAGGAAGCAAGACUGCGAAGUUAAGCAAAUCCCUAAAAGAUACCUCAGUUCGGAUUGCACUCUGCAACUCGAGUGCAUGAAGCUGGAAUUACUAGUAAUCGUGGAUCAGCGUGCCACGGUGAAUGCGUUCCCGGGUCU